GUCGGUUUGGCUCGAGGUGUUGAAAAUAUCACAUCGUAUUUAAAAACAGUAUUUUCUCGUAUCUAUGCCGGAGGCGGUUCGCACCCCAGUGUUGCUGUUGUCUGCAUCGGAGGCGGCUUUCAUCCGCAAUGGCAUGUUGUUCGCGGUGCUUCUGUGUGCCCUUUGGUUUCAGUGUAGCACUUCUGAGCGCGGUGCAUCUGUUUGCGAGGAACUUUCGUCCCUGUAUGGCGGGGCCGCCUCGGUGCUUCUAGUGGGGAGCAGCUUUCAUCCAUGUAUGGCGGUGAUGCCUCUAAUCGUCAUGCAUCUAUUUGCGAGAAACUUUCAUCCUGGUAUGGCAGUGACGUCGUGGCGCUUCUGAGCGCCGACUUCUGCCGCGCCGACUUAAUACUUGUAUAUCCUGUAUAUAUUGUUAUUAAAUAAAGUUUUUUUCCUAAAUAAAAAAAAAAUAAAAAAAAACCGAUAGCGGCUCGGGGCAGUAUCGUUAAAUCCUCAGUCUACUAUCCCGAAUAGCCGAGUUCGAUUCCGAUCUAAAAAAUAUUUUUUUUUUUUUUGGUUUUUAUCGCGUUUUCAAUUCCGUUUAAAUUUUAAGCAUUGCAAAUAAAGGAGACCAGAAAAAGAUAAAAAUUUCUUUUACAGCUAAGUAUGCAAUUUGAUCUGUUCAUUUCAGGGUUAAAAACUAUAUAUGUUAACUUCUGUUUCGCCGUUUUAUUCUAUUCUUUAGUUUUUAAUAAAGUAUUUGAUAAUUUGUAUCAUCGUUGCUUUUAUUAAAAUACUCUUUUGUUUAAAUCAUUUGAUGUUAUUUA
rnacentral:lncRNA from 1 species